UUGACUGACGAUUCCUGGCAGACCAAAGAGAGCCGGUGUCUUGAAAGGGUGCAUGUGUUACGAUUAAGACGGUCUCCACCACCACCAUCACCACCACUACCACGACUCUCCACUUCUGCCCAAGAUGGUUGCUUUAAAUCGCCUGUUAGGGGCAGCGGUGACCCUGUGUGUGGGCGCCCUUGCCAUGCCCUCGGCUAAACUGAUCAGCGGGACGACCUCGGCUAUGCUGUACUUCACGAGAUUCGGCUACAUGAACCCAAAAGUGCUCAACCCGCAGUCUGGCGCCCUACUUUCCGAGGAGACAGUCAGAAACAGCAUUAUGGAUUUUCAGGCAUUCGCAGGACUGAACCUGACAGGUGUUUUGGAUGAAGAGACCCUGGAAGUGAUGAAUCUGCCCCGCUGUGGUGUGAAGGACAAGGUUGGCUUUGGCACCAAUGCCAGGAGAAAACGUUAUGCCCUCCAGGGGUCUCGAUGGAGGGUGAAGACUAUCACCUACAGGAUCACCAAGUACCCCCAAGGACUCUUGAAGAAUGAUGUUGAUAGGGAGAUUGCAGCUGCUUUUCAGGUGUGGGAAGAUGUGACAGACCUGCAGUUCCAGCGCGCCUCCUCUGGCAAGGUGCACAUUGAGGUGAGGUUCGAGAAGGGCGAGCACGGCGAUGGUGAUCCUUUUGAUGGCCCUGGCGGCACCCUGGCCCAUGCUUACUUCCCUAUCUAUGGCGGAGAUGCUCACUUUGACGACUCUGAGGUCUGGACCCUCAGAUCCAACCGAGGCACGAAUCUUUUCCAAGUAGCAGCCCAUGAGUUUGGUCACUCCCUAGGACUCUCACACUCGGAUGUGCGCUCCUCCCUCAUGGCUCCCUUCUACCGUGGCUACGAGUCCAGCUUUGAACUGGACCAGGAUGACAUCAAGGGCAUCCAGGCUCUGUAUGGCAAGAAGACAACUCGUCCCACUCCAGCCACUCAGCCACCCACAAGUGUUGCUGGUGGUGGCAGCAGCAGUGGUGGUGGAGAGUCUGGUGGAAUAUUGUGUCGGGAUGCUUCCAUUGAUGCCAUCGUCACCUUGUCCGAUAAGAAGACCUACGUGUUCAAGGGAUCACAGUACUGGGAGCUCACAGACAAAGGUGUGGCAGCAGGCUACCCUCGCUCAAUCUCUUCUAACUGGGAAGGUCUUCCCUCCAACAUUGAUGCUGCCUUCACUUGGUCCAAUGGCAACACCUAUUUCUUCAAGGACGACAACUACUGGCGGUUCAAUGGCAAAACUGGGACCAGUGGCUACCCCAAGAAGAUCUCCAAGGGCUUUGCUGGAGUGCCCAACAACAUUGAUGCAGCCUUUGUGUGGUCUGGGAAUGGCAAGAUCUACUUCUUCAAGGACUCUCAGUACUGGAGAUUUGACCCCACCCAGAGGCCUCCAGUCAGAGAGAGCUACCCCAAGCCUGUCUCAAACUGGGAGAACCUGCCUGACAACAUUGAUGACGCCCUGCAGUACUCCAACGGCUACACUUACUUCUUCAAGGAUGGUCAGUACUGGCGGUUCAAUGACAGAGCCUUCAGGGUGGACACAGCCGAACCUAACUUCCCCCGCCCUGCUGGAUACUGGUGGUUCGGAUGCCCUGCCAGUGGAUCACAGAUGUCUGCCGUCCACAAAAAUCCAGUUUACGCUCCCCUCCCCUCAAAUGACAACGAGGACGACACUCUAGAUGCAGGAGGCCAAACCCCCUCUGGCUAGGAGGUGGGAUCAUCAUGCCGGGCACAUCGGUGGUCCAUGCCAAGGCUUGCAUGCUUAUCACCUCGGUGCUUCUGGCCUGUCUGGGUGGUGGCUGAUCCCUGACGGCUCAGACGGCUCAGACGAUGACUUUAACAACCAGAUGCCCAAAAUGGGUGGUUCUCAAAGUUUGGGUUACCAGGCAAACCAGCAGGACCCAGACAAGAAUGCAGCAUCUGGCCAGACUCUCCCUGCUUCUCUUCUCUCCAUCCUCCUGGCUCUCCUCCCCUCUCUCCUCCUCAAGCUGUAAGGUAAAAAAAAGUAAAUAAAUAAAUAAAUAAAUAAAAAAUAAAACAUGACCCGAGACUUGUCCACAUAAACGCACCGAGGUAUGGAGAAGACAGCACAAAGACUACACUGAUCUCACUCAAGAAGCAAGUCAAGGCAUUUCAAGAGGUGAAGCAUUCCCCUGAUGGCACUGUCCUGAGGUGAGGUGAGGAGAUGGCAACAGGAUGGAGUGAUCUGAUGGGGCCCACUGAGGUGACACAUUACACCAGUAACACCACCAGCCAUAUGAAACAUUUGCCCCAACCAACACAAAUCUCCUACCUACAAUAGUACAAGUUCCGCUGUCUCAGAGGUGAGCCAAGUAAUGGUGAAGACUUGACCACACCUGGACCAGUACAAACUUACUCAUGACACUACACUGUUCACCACAACACUCAAGCAGUGAUGUGGUUUCCCCUCUCUGUCUUGCUGCCACAGAGCAUGGGAGACAGAGACACACUGGCCAGUCAAGGACAUUCAAGACAUGACACUGGAGCAAUAAACUACUGGGUUAUUGUUAUAUAUUAUUAUUAUUAUUAUUAUUAUCACAUGUGGUUUGUGAACAGUGAUCACUUGUUAUGAUCUGUGGCCACUGUAAACUGCUGCUCUGUGUGUGUGUGUGUGUGUGUGUGUGUGUGUGUGUGUGUGUGUGUGUGUGUGUGUGGAGUCACUGCAGUGCUUGUGAAAAUGACUGCUGGUUACAGUUAUAGUGAUGACACUUGAUAGCAGUGACUGUAAUGCUUUGUUACUCUUCAAUAGUCCCCUUCUCUAUGUAUCUCAAGACAGAUAACAGACUAUGGAUGAUUUUGUUAUUGUUAUACCUUUAUCUCAAAUAAUGAAUGAAUAAUGAAUGUAAACGUGCAAUGUGAUGAGGCUUUUCCCAUGCUGUAUUUUGUGAGUGUUGACACAUUACUGUGACACAUUCGCUGAAGAACAGCCUGGUAGGAGUUAGACAGGCAAGGAUGAGCUUCUAAGUGUGGUUGAAGCAACUACUUGGUACUACUGCUGAGGCAUGGCAAACCUGCAUUAAUGUUAAGUUAAUGUUAUCCACCUACCAUGUAUAUACAAUUAUGUACAUAUGUUUAUUUGUUGGCUGACAUAUCUAUAUCAUGGUCACAUUCAUAGGUUUAGCUCUACAUCUGUGUAGUGUAUUGCUAUCUUUAUUGUUUGUUUUACCUAUCUUUGAAAACUUCAUCACAACAAAUAAAGUACCAUUUUUAAAA